GCCAUGGUUCUUGCUUUUCUUCUCAGUAAGAACCCGAACCAGGGCAACCAGCUAUGGAACCCAGUCAAUAGAGCUUCGCGCACAAGCUUGGUGAUUGCAGAGGAAAGGCACCUUGGAGGUUAGCGACUGGACUUUCUGGAUUUCUAAUCCAAUUGUUACCUGUAUUGAUGCAGUCCUGUGCCUUGCAUAGGGUAGAUUUGAAGAUCACUACAUAACUUGGAAGAUUUCUGAAAAGAGUUCAAGAGCUGUGUGUUCUUCAUACUAUGUGGUCUCAUCAGAAGGCAGGCUUUCUGGAUAUGUGAGGAUUGCAGAUAAAGGAUGCAGAACCCUCAGAGCUCUGGACUAUGCUAAAACUAAACUCACUCAAUGUAGAUGAAGCAGGGGCCAUAAGAAAACAGGGGCCAAACUGAGACUCCAGGCCCAGGUCUGCUGAGUGCCAGCAAAGUGACUUCUUUUGGCUCGUGCUACUUAUCUUAAAAGAAAAGUCAAAGUAAGCAUCGCAGUUCCAGCACUGCCAGGGCCACAUCCUAGCCCUUGCUUUAAGUACUCUACGUGGACAUUCCUGUUCACUCUACAGUGACAACCACCUAAGUACUCUACAUGGACAUUCCUGCUCACUCUUCAGUGACAACCACCUACGAGUUGACGUUAUCUUCAUUUUUUGACAUGGAAAACGAAGGCUUAAAAAGAUGAAGUUGCCAGAUACUAUGCAUCCAGCAAAUACAGAGCUAUGAAAGCCAAGUUUCUGUCUUCAAAGGGGAUAAUGAGUUUGAUUUUUUUCCAAUGCUGUCUGUGAGAUUCAUGUAUAAACAACAGGCCAUUUUCUUGUGUUGGAAGAUGAAAACGAACCCCCUGUCCCCUCCAGGCAGCUAACUAGGAACUUAUAUAUUACUCCGUCUCCCUUUCAUCUUGCUCCCUUAUGUGGUCUUACCUUGGCAAAAGGCAAGAUGCCAUCCAGGGCCAUGGGAGGGGUAAGGGAGGAGGAGGAGGAUCUUUUCUUCAGUCUAUUCUAGACUGAACCCCAUGCCCUGGCCAUGCCAGUCUGCACUGACAGUAGCCUUCCUUCUUCCUGAACUGCCCCCAGCAGGAAGUCCCUAGGUGUCUGAGAAGACGAGGAAAGCAGCGGGCCUAUCCCAGCAGAGCAGAAACAGAUCCCCCACCUGCCUCCCGCUAUAACAAAGUCAGUAGGUAGGUCCCCUACCAGAGGGCCCGAGGGUCACCAGGAGCCUUUAGGUGUCAGGUCUUGGCAUGGCUG